GGAGUCUAGCAUGUGCGCGAGUCAUUGGGAUCUUACGAGACCUAAAGGCGCAAUGAAAGUGAAUGUUCGCCUUGCGCGGACAGAGGGAGGAUGGGUGUCGGCCUCGGCCGUCGCCCCGCACUCCCGGGGCGUCUCGUUCUCAUUGCGAGAUGAGGCGCACCAAGAGCGUACACGCUGGGACCCGAAAGAUGGUGAACUAUGCCUGGUCAGGACGAAGUCAGGGGAAACCCUGAUGGAGGUCCGUAGCGAUUCUGACGUGCAAAUCGAUCGUCGGAACUGGGUAUAGGGGCGAAAGACUAAUCGAACCAUCUAGUAGCUGGUUCCCUCCGAAGUUUCCCUCAGGAUAGCUGGUGCUCGUUUCUUACGAGUUUCAUCCGGUAAAGCGAAUGAUUAGAGGCAUUGGGGUCGAAACGGCCUCAACCUAUUCUCAAACUUUAAAUGGGUGAGAUCUCCGGCUUGCUCGAACUUGUUUACUGAAGCCGCGAGAAUCGAAUCAGAGUGCCAAGUGGGCCAUUUUUGGUAAGCAGAACUGGCGCUGUGGGAUGAACCAAACGCCGAGUUAAAGCGCCUAAAUCGACGCUUAUGGGAUACCAUGAAAGGCGUUGGUAACUUAAGACAUCAGGACGGUGGCCAUGGAAGUC
rnacentral:rRNA from 1 species